rnacentral:rRNA from 1 species
AGGGUUCGAUUCUGGCUCAGGAUGAACGCUAGCUACAGGCUUAACACAUGCAAGUCGAGGGGCAUCAUGGAGUUUGCUUGCAAACUCUGAUGGCGACCGGCGCACGGGUGAGUAACGCGUAUCCAACCUUCCCUAUAGUAGAGGAUAGCCCGGCGAAAGUCGGAUUAAUACUCUAUGUUUUCCGUUGCAGACAUCUAAGAUGGAACAAAGGCUUGCCGCUAUAGGAUGGGGAUGCGUCUGAUUAGGUAGUCGGCGGGGUAACGGCCCACCGAGCCAUCGAUCAGUAGGGUUCUGAGAGGAAGGUCCCCCACAUUGGAACUGAGACACGGUCCAAACUCCUACGGGAGGCAGCAGUGAGGAAUAUUGGUCAAUGGGCGAGAGCCUGAACCAGCCAAGUAGCGUGCAGGACGACGGCCCUAUGGGUUGUAAACUGCUUUUAUGCGGGGAUAAAGUUCACUACGUGUAGUGUUUUGUAGGUACCGCAUGAAUAAGGACCGGCUAAUUCCGUGCCAGCCGCAGC